GCUGGAGUGGCGGAAUGGCAUACGCGCCGGUCUCAAAAACCGGUGUCUUAACAGACGUGAGGGUUCAACUCCCUCCUCCAGCA
rnacentral:tRNA from 1 species